UACGUAGGGCGCAAGCGUUGUCCGGAAUUAUUGGGCGUAAAGAGCUCGUAGGCGGCUUGUCACGUCGGGUGUGAAAGCCUGUGGCUCAACCACGGAAUUGCCUUCGAUACUGUCGAGCUUGAGACCGGAAGAGGUAAGUGGAACUGCGAGUGUAGAGGUGAAAUUCGUAGAUAUUCGCAAGAACACCAGUGGCGAAGGCGGCUUACUGGUCCGGUUCUGACGCUGAGGCGCGAAAGCGUGGGGAGCAAACAGG
rnacentral:rRNA from 1 species